rnacentral:lncRNA from 1 species
UUCGGUAGGUCCCUGCUGGGUUUCUGAAAACAACAACAAGGGAUCCCCUGAGUACGAAGUACUCAGCAAGUCUUACCCGACUAACCAAUAUAAUAGCUUUCUUUGGAAGGGUAUGCUUAGCUUUUUGGUGUACUUGGCUAAUGCAGUUUUUGCCGAAAAGCUUACUACAAGUGAUACCUUAGUUUUAUCUUUUUUUUGGGUUAAGUUAUUACCUAACCAUUCUAAAUGAUAGCAGAAGUAAAAACAACCACAGCUGUUAAAUCAUACAGUACUUGGCAACAGGAGAUUUUAUAUCGCAUGAGUUCAUUCUACGAAGCUUAACAGCGAUCAAGUGCAUUCAUAACCGAGAAUUGCGGCGAUCCGGAUCUAAUUACAUCCUGCAGGAGAGUACCCUGAUCACCAGCAUUAUACGACUGUUCCGGUCGUAUCUCACAACCUCUCGAUUAGCAAAGUCAAUGAUUAGGAAUACAACUACCCGGACCCAGGGAUGCACCCCCACAUGGGACCCCACGUCUGGCCUGAUCUCCAUGUGAGUUUCAGGCUACACCCCUGCCAAUCUCCAGCACGUCAAAUGCGGGUACGAGGCAUUCCUGAUCAUAGAAUUUACUAAUCUACUGGGCUUUACUGGUCCCAUACCUAGUAAGUGAUCAGAUGUUAUCACUUGAUCAAUGGUUAAGACACGGAUCGGUCCUUAACCAGAUUAAUCUAACAGACAGAACUACAUCUCUAGCUUCUGUCCCUUUCCAUAUUCCAAACUGUCCUUCAUAAGCAACAUGUAUGACUUAAGAGUUUUCCUUAAGGUUGGUAAACCAAGCAUGUAAGCAAGUAAGGAUUUCUAGACUUGGGUUGUCUUCUAAGGUUUGAACAAGUGGCAAAGAUGUCCUUAAAACAAGGUAUGAUCGUACACAAGAAUAGGUUUCAAGCAACUCAUAGACUUAGUGCAUACAUAUAUCAAAUGACCGAUAAUUG